rnacentral:rRNA from 1 species
ACUCAAAUGAAUUGACGGGGACCUGCACAAGCGGUGGAGCGUGGGGUUUAAUUCGUCACUAAACGAAGAACCUUACCAAGGCUUUACAUCUCUCGAAAGCUCUGGAAACAGAGCCGUGCCCGCAAGGGAACGAGAUGACAGGUGUUGCACGGUUGUCGUCAGCUCGUGCUGUGAAGUGUCCCGUUCAGUCGGUUAACGAGCGCAACCCCUACUCUGUGUUGUAUUUCUCACAGAGAACUGCCCUGGUUAACAGGGAGGAAGGUGGGGACGACGUCAAAUCAGCGUGGCCCUUAUGUCUUGGGCUACACCCGCGCUACAAUGGGAAAUAACAAUGGGUUGCCAAGCCGCGAGGCGGAGCUAAUCCUAUCAAACUUUCCCCCAGUUCAGAUUGGAGGCUGCAACUCGCCUCCAUGAAGUCGGAAUCGCUAGUAACGGCCAGUCAGCUAUAUGGCCGUGAAUACGUUCUCAGGUCUUGUACACACCGCCCGU